GUGCUCGCUUUGGCAGCAUAUACACUAAAAUUGAAACGAUACAGAGAAGAUUAGCAUGGCCCCUGCGCAAGGAUGACACACAAAUUCGUGAAGCGUUCCAUAUUUAA
rnacentral:snRNA from 1 species